GGCUGGAUAGCAAAGUGGUAAUGCAGCGGAUUGCAAAUCCGCUAUACGUCAGUUCGAUUCUGACUCCGGCCUC
rnacentral:tRNA from 1 species